UACGAAGGGGGCUAGCGUUGUUCGGAAUUACUGGGCGUAAAGGGCGCGUAGGCGGCCCGAUCAGUCAGAUGUGAAAGCCCCGGGCUCAACCUGGGAACUGCAUUUGAUACUGUCGGGCUUGAGUUCCGGAGAGGAUGGUGGAAUUCCCAGUGUAGAGGUGAAAUUCGUAGAUAUUGGGAAGAACACCGGUGGCGAAGGCGGCCAUCUGGACGGACACUGACGCUGAGGCGCGAAAGCGUGGGGAGCGAACCGG
rnacentral:rRNA from 1 species